UACAGCCCUGGGAUUAGUUGGUGGUUUUCCAUCCAAAUAUUAACUGGACUUGACCUUGCUUAGCUUACAAGCCUAGAUAUGGUUGGCCAGAUGCUGAGAUUGUUGAGGUAUAAAGCCCUUCCUGAGCUAGACUGCUGCUUCUGACAUCCACUGAAGUCCUCCAGCUGAUUCCCAGUCUCUCACACCACAUUCCUCCAGAUGCAGUCCAGAAGAAGGGAUCUGGCAACAAUGACCCACACCCUUGUCAUCUUCUGGUCAGAUCACUACAUGACGAUGAUGUGCCAUCAAGCUUGUGUUGAUGCUUCGCAAUCACACAGACAUAUUUUCUUCAGAAUGCUCAUUGAAGAACACAGGUCCAGGGAAUACCUUUAUAACCCUAGCAUCUGGAUCAUUACUGCAGUGACAGCCGACAAAGGUAAUCCUCAGGUUACAGCAAUUGGGACCAGAAUUUCUGUCGCUAAGAGAUGUGGUCAUAAAAUGUGAUGUCACGUGAUCUCGUCGUUUACAAUGCUGGCAGUCCCAUUUGCUGUCGUAACCCCAGGACUGUGCGGGUCGUUAAGCAGGAAGAGGCAGGAGUCCCAGGCAAGCAGGCU